rnacentral:lncRNA from 1 species
CUAAAACAAGAAUAAAACUAGAAGUACUUAGUAGGUGUAAUAGAUAGGUUUGCAAGAUAACAAAGAACAAGUAAAUCAAAGUUAGAUGUUAUUUUGCAAGAAAAUAAAGAGAGUGGAAAUAAAAGUUAGGGUUUGUUUAGUAGAAAGCUUUUGUGUAAUGCAAGAAAAAGAUUGUCCAUAGGCAGUUGAAUAUAAUAAGAUAGAUACUUAGCAUGUGCAAUGAGGGAGAGGCACACGCUAACACACUUUCCAUACUUGGAUCAUAUGCACUUAUGAUUGGACCUCUAGCAAGCAUCCAUAACUACUAGAAAUCAUUAAGGUAAAGCCAACCAUAAUUUUAAACAUCAAGUCCUCUUUACUCCCGUACACGCACAACUCCCUUACUCGGGCGUAAAUUUCUAUCACUCUCACCACCUACUAUAAGCGAAUCAUGAACAUAUUGCAAACCCUCCAGCAUGUAUCCUUCACGUCUGUGCCCCACGGAAGGCACCUUGGGACAACACCCUAUCAACAGACAACUCAUAUCAGUAACAUCAUAUAACAAUUAACCCGUAGGACAAAAUGGAUCUACUCAAACAUCAUAGGAUAGCCACAUAUCAUUGGGAAAUAGUAUGCAGUGUUUAGCACCAUGUUUAAAUAGAGAGUUACAGUAGGAACAGAUGUGUUACACCACUGCAUAGAGGGGGAGAGAGUUGGUGUUGAUGGUGGCAAGAUUGUUUAUGUAGAUCGUCGUCACGCUCCUUGCACCGGCGGCACUCCAGCGCCAUCAAGAGAAAGGGGGGAGAGCCCCCUCCUUUUUCUUCUUCCUUGGCCUCCCCCUAGAUGGGUGGAGAGUUCCCCCUCUCGUGCAUGGCCUCCUUGGAGGCAGAGGGGCAGGAGCCCCUUCGAUAUUGGAUCUCCCUGUGUGUUCUCUUGUGUUUGGCGUUCCUAUUUUCUCGCCCUUCACGGUUUCUUAAAUUCUCGGAGAUCUGUAACUCCGAUCGGGCUGAAAUUUUUACAUAAUUUUUUCCCAUAAAUUAUCUUUCUUGUGCCCGAAUAAGAGCCCCAAUAGACUUAUGGUGUGGCCACUAGAUGGCAGGGCGUGCUAGGGGUAUGGGUCGCUCCCUACUGGGUAGUGUAGGUUCUGGGUCUCCAUUAACGUUGAUUCCACCUGCCAAAAAUCACAUAUAUUCCAAAAUAAUUCUCCGUAAAUUUUUAUCGCAUUUGGACUUCGUUUGAUAUGGAUAUUCUAUGAAAUAAAAAACAUGCAACAAACAGGAGCUAGCACGGAGCACUGGAUCAAUAUGUUAGUCCAAUAAAUCAUAUAAAAUGUUGCCAAAAUAUGUGAAAGUUGUAUAAUAUUGGCAUGGAACAAUAAAAAAUUAUAGAUAUGGUAGAGACGUAUCAACAUCCCCAAGCUUAAUUCCUGCUCCUCCUCGAGUAUGUAAAUGAUAAAAAAUAUAAAUUUUGAUCUCGAAUGCUACCUAGCAUAAUCUUAAUUAUAUAUCUAAUCAUGGCAUGAAUAUUAAGACAUGAGUGAUUCAAAGCAGUAGUUUAUAAUUUGACAAAAAUACAUCCAUACUUAGGUUUACAAGCAAACAAUUACAAGCAAAUAACGAUGCUACAGAAUACCAUCCCUACAAAAUCAUAUAGCUUGUCAUGCUUGGUCUUCCUAGCAUAAGGUAUAAAUCAUGAGCACCCCAGUUUCAAAUCAAGCAAUUGGAUCAUAAUUUUUAAUGCGCUUCAGCUAUUUAUUCCUCACUCAAUACAUGAGCAUGAACCAUGGAUAUAGCAUAAAGGUGGAAUAAUAUAUGGUGGUAGGUUUCAAAGGGGUGAAAGUGAAGAAGAAAGUCUCGCAUCAACUUGGCGUAUCAACAGGCCAUGGAGAUGCCCAUCAAUAGAUAUCAAUGCGAGGAGUAGGGAUUGUCAUGCAACAGAUGCACUAGAUCUAUAAGUGUAUGGAGAUCAAUAUGAAAACUAAGUGGGUGUGCACUAAACUCUAUAAUGAAAAAUUCCCACUAGUAUAUGGAAGUGACAACAUAGGAGACUCUCCAUAUGAAAAAUAUGGUGCUACUUUGAAGCAUAAGUGUGUAAUUAGCAUGCCCCUUUUGUCUUUUCUCUCAUUUUUUCAUUUUUUCUUGUUUUCCUUCACUUUUUUUAUGGUGGGCUCAUUUAGCCUCCCCCAUUUUUCAUUUUUCGUCCGGAGUCUCAUCCCGACUUGUGGGGAAAUCAUAGUCUCCUUCAUCCUUUCCUCAAUGGGACAAUGCUCUAAUAAUGAUGAUAAUCACACUUCUAUUUACUUACAACUCAGUAUUACAACUCGAUACCUAGAAAAAAAUAUGACUCUAUAUGAAUGCUUCUGGCAGUGUACCAUGAUGUGAAAUGAUCUAUCAUAGCACUAACAUAAAAAAUGGUCAAGCCAUGGAAAUAUCAUGCUAGUAAUCUUACGAUCAUGCAAAGCAAUAUGACAAUGAAUUCUUGAUACGUCUCCAACGUAUCUAUAAUUUUUGAUGGUUUCAUGCUAUUAUCUUGUCAAACUUUGGAUGUUUUGUAUACCUUUUAUAUCUUUUUUGGGACUAACUUAUUAACUGAGUGCCAAGUGUCAGUUCCUGUUUUUUCCGUGUUUUUGACCCUUUUCAGAGGAGGAUUUUAAACGGAGUCCAAACGGAACGAAACUUCCAAAAAGAUUUUUUCCGAAACAGAAGACGAUCGGGGAACUUGAGAACCAAGGCAGGGGGCCACCAAGGACCCCACAAGCCCCCUAGCCGCGGCCAGGGGGGGCGCGCCUCCCAGGCUUGUGGGCUCCCUGGGCCUCCUCUGCCCUAGGUCUUUCGCCUAUAAAUUCCCUAAAAUCCCUGAAAAAAUCAAGAGAUCAUCGAAAGUACUUUUCCGCCGCCGCAAGCUUCUGUCUCCGCAAGAUCCCAUCCGAGGCACGUUCUGGUGCCCUGCCAGAGGGGGGAUUCGGAUACGGAUGGCUUCUUCAUCAACACCAUGACCUCUCCGAUAAUGCGUGAGUAGUUCACCACAGACCUACGGGUCCAUAGCUAGUAGCUAGAUGGCUUCUUCUCUCUCUUGGAUCUUCAAUACAAAGUUCUCCAUGAUCUUCAUGGAGAUCUAUCCGAUGUAAUCUUCUUUUGCGGUGUGUUUGUCGAGAUCCGAUGAAUUGUGGAUUUAUGAUCAGAUUAUCUAUGAAUCUUAUUUGAGUUUCUUCUGAUCUCUCUUAUGCAUGAUUUCAUAUCCUUGUAAUUCUCUUCGAGUUGUGGGUUUUGUUUGCCUAGCUUGAUCUAUGAUUCCUGCAAUGGGAGAAGUGCUUGGUUUUGGAUUCAUACCGUGCGGUGACCUCACCCAGUGAUAGAAGCGGUAGCGAGGCACACAUCGUGUUGUUGCCAUCAAGGGUAAAAAGAUGGGGUUUUCAUCAUUGUUUUGAGUUUAUCCCUCUACAUCAUGUCAUCUUGCUUAAGGCGUUACUCUGUUCGUCAUGAACUCAAUACACUAGAUUCAUGCUGGAUAGCGGUCGACGUGUGUAGUAAUAGUAGUAGAUGCAGAAAGUAUCGGUCUACUUGUCUCGGACGUGAUGCCUAUAUGUAUGAUCAUUGCCUUAGAUAUUGUCAUGAAUUUGCGCGGAUCUAUCAAUUGCUCGACAGUAAUUUGUUCACCCACCGUAAUAUUUGUUAUUUUGAGAGAAGCCUCUAGUGAACACUAUGGCCCCCGGGUCUACUUCACACCAUAUUUUCAGCUUUACUUAUUUACUUCGUUGCACUUUUCGCCUUCAGAUCUCACUUUGCAAUCAAUCUUAAAGGGAUUGACAACCCCUUUAUAGCGUUGGGUGCAAGCUCUUUUGUGUUUGCGCAGGUACUCUAGACUUGACGAGAUUCUCCUACUGGAUUGAUACCUUGGUUCUCAAACUAAGGGAAAUACUUACUGCUCUUGUGCUGCAUCACAUUUUCCUCUUCAAGGGAAAAAACAAUGCAAGCCCAGUAUCUGUCAACGUGUCAAUUCCUGGUGCUGUUGUCUAUUGCCGUAGCAAUUCUCAAGUCAUCAAAACGGAAGCGAUGGAAGUUUCAUGGCAAUGUAUCUCAGAAUGGCUAUGAAAAUGACAUAAUAGGUAGGUAUGGUGGCUGUUUUGAGGAAGAUAUAAUAAGGAUUAUGUGUGAUAGAGAGUAUCAUAUCACGGGGUUUGGAUGCACAUGCGAAGUUUGCAUUGACUCUCGAGGUGAGAAAGGGCAAUGCAUGGCACCGUAGAGGAUUGAAAAUUGCGGAAAGGUAAGAGUGCGUAUAAUCCAUGGAUUCACAUUAGUCAUAAAGAACUCACAUACUUAUUGCAAGAUUUUAUUAGCUCUCUCUAAGCAAAGCUCUACCCGCAUGCCCGAUGGGGGAAGGUUGGGAGGAGUUAACAAUCACGCGACUCCGAUUAUAACAACACAAAGGAUUUCAAUCAAGGAUAAAUUAUGCUCCAACUUCAUCGCAUAACCACGAACUAUACAUGCAUGAUUAGGGAGUUACAAACCUUAACAUAAAUAUUCUUACUUAUCCAAAAUCAUCAACUAGUUCAUCCAUAUAUUAUUAUCUUAAUGUCGCAAAACUAUUGCAGGGAAUGAAACAUAUCAUACUCAAUGAUCUACAAGUUUUAUGUAGGAUUUUAUGACUAAACAUGUAAAUGACCAAUUCCUUUUGAAUCUCUAAAUAGGUAUAACUGAAUCAUGAGAGUUUAAUUAUUUCUACACAAUACCAUGCUCUAAUAAAUAUAAGUGAAGCAGAAGAGCAUUCUAUGAAUAACGGUUUCUAUAUGUAAAGAAACAGCAAUCCAAACUUCAAAUGAUAUAAGUGAAGCACAUGAAGCAUUCUAUAAAGCCAUACUCAAAAUAUAUAAGUGAAGUGCAACGAGAAUUAUAUAAGUAAACCAUCGACUAUCUCAUACCAGCAUGGUGCAUAAAAUAAAAGUGAAAACUAAAGGACGCUCCAAGAUUUACGCAUAUCACGUGAACGAAACGAAGACGAUAACAUGCCGAUACUUGUUGAAGAAAGAUGAGCUUAGACGCUUGAGUAUACUUGGAUAUUUACUUGGGGUGCCUUGGGAAUCCACAAUCUUGAAAUCUUGCCUCUCCUCCUUCUCCUCAUAUCGAUACCUCCUCGAUCUUCGAACACUUCAUCCACACAAAAUUUAACAGAGAACUCGUGAGAUCCGUUAGUAUAAUAAUGCGAAUUACUACCUUAAGUACUAUUGAAAACCCAUUCGUAUUUUGUUUUUUCAUUAUAGCUACUUUAAUAUAACUUCUCCAUGGCUUAUACCACCGGUACAAUCGAUAGUUUCAUCAAAACGAACAAAACAAUGCAUCAAAAACAGAAUCUGUAAAAAAAACAGGACAGUCUGUAGUAAUCUGAACAUUGAACAUACUUCUGUAACUUCAAAAAUUCCUAAAAAUUAGGAAGAAAUAAAAUAUUUUCAUAUAAUUACUGUGUAAACAUUUCUGAAACUUUUGAUGUUUCGGUAAAAAAUGUAAAUUCACGCACUACAACCAAAGUUUCUGUUUUUGCGCCGCACAUACCAACAAGCAAUCUCAUCAUCCUAAAGGAAAAUCUUGGCACAUUAUUUUUAUAAUACAAUGGAUUUGUACAAGCGGAUAAUUAUUUUUGUUAGAAACUCAUGAAAAAUUCUACAUUGUUUCCAUGAGCAUGAACACAAGUGUUCAAGGUCGUCCCUCACUUCUCCAAUGCAUAACCUUCCAAACGCUUCUCUUUUUGAAAAAAGUUUGAAGUUCCCUCUAUAUUUUUUUGUUUCUAAACUUUUUAAAAGCACUCAAUAGAAAUAAAUGACUCUCUAAAAUUUCCGGGUUGUCUCCGUGGCAGCGCUUUCUUUAAAUCCAUUAAGCUAGGCAUAAAGUGCUCAAGUAAUUGAUCCACCCGGAUCCCAAAGUAUAUCAAAGCCAAUUUUAAUUAACAAUGAGUUAUAAUUUAGUAGUGAGCCCAAAGCAACAUAUAUCAUGCAAUAGUGAAGUCUAACUCUCUUCCUAUGCAUCGGCAUGACAUAAAACAACAAUUCAUGCACAUAAAGUAAAGGCCAAUACAUAGCAUAAGCUGUUUCUUGCAAUUUUAUCGUGUCGAAAACAUAAAGAGGUGGAUAUGUAGUUCCUCUCUGAUAAUAAUUGCAAGUAUGAGCAGAAAUCACAUGCAUAUUAUAUCCAUCAAGAUCAUCAUGUGUAAUGGUAAAACGCAACCCAUCAAUAUAAUCCUUAAUAAGAGCAAACUUAUCCGAAAUAGUGUAAUUAGGAGAAUUCAAAAAGAUAAUAGGACUAUCAUGUGUGGGUAUAAUGGAAACUAUUGCAUUCUUAACAUAAGGAACUAUAGCAAGUUCAUCUUCACAAGCAUAAUUCAUAUUGGCAUCUUGUCCACAAGCAUAGCAAGCAUCAAUUUCAUCAAAAAGGGAUAUUUCAAAAGAAUCAACGGAAUUAUAACAUUCAUCCUUCGGUAAGCAUGAAGGGAAAUUAAACAAUGUAUGAGUUGAAGAGUUACUCUCAUUAGAAGGUGGGCAUGGGUAGCUAAUCCACUCUUCCUCUAUUUGUUCUUCACUCUGCUUAUCAUCUUUUUCAUCUAAUGAGCUCACAGUUUCAUUAAUUUCUUCUUCCAUAGAUUCCUGCAAAAUAUUAAUUUAUUCCAAGACAACAGAAAUUCUCUCAAUAAAUUCAUUAAUAUAGGCGUUGUAUUCAUAAUUAUCAUAGCAAUAUUUAAGUAUGGAAAAAUUUCAGAUUUGUAAAGAAUAGCAUCAUACUUUUCAAUCAAAGAAGCAAUUUCAUAAGCACCCUUAAAAGCAACGAAUUCGUCUAUUUGUUCCACACUAGAGUAAUCAUAGAAACCAUUAGCAUAAGAAGCCAAGGUUUCAUUAUCAUUAAAUUCACAUUGAAAGGGAAUGUGUGAAGUCUCCGUCUUAGAGCAACAAGUAUAAUCACACCUCAAGCAUAAAUUUCAAGCAUACCAACGCAACAUUUUAAUUUGAUCCCAUAAGUGUUUCCCUUUUUGAGUCAAGCGAUAAUCCCUAAAAUAAUCACAUUAAUACAACGCGUAUCCCAUCAUCAAGUUUAAUGGGGAAUUCUCAGGAUUAUCAAAGUAGUAUUUAAUGUUUUCCACAUAACCAUCAUCAUGGGUUUCAGGAGGUUCCACUUCUCCAGGAGUAGCAAGUACAACUAAUUGUUUUGGUGUUUUGUGUUCCAUAUCCAUAACUAAAGAUAUAAAACAACUAAUAACAGAAAAUAAAAAUUACUUAGUGAUAAACCAAACAAGCACACACCAGAAUAUUCACCCUACGCUAUUGCUCCCCCGCAACGACGCGAGAAAAGGUCUUGAUAACCCACAAACAUACGGGAUCGUUUGUAGCCCUUUUUGAUAAAUAAGAGUGUCAAACCCAGCGAGAAGAUAAAGGUAGAACAAAUAUUCCCUCAAGUUCUAUCGACCACCAAUACAACUCUACACACACUUAAUAUUUGCUUUACCUAAAACAAGAAUAAAACUAGAAGUACUUGGUAGAUGUAAUAGAUAGGUUUGCAAGAUAAUAAAGAACAAGUAAAUAAAAGUUAGGUGAUGUUUUGCAAGACAAUAAAGAGCAUGGAAAUAAAAGUUAGCGUUUGUUUAGUAAAAAUAUUUUUGUGUAACGCAAGAAAAAGAUUGUCCAUAGGCAAAUUGAAUAUAACAUGAUAGAUACUUAUCAUGCGUAAUGAGGGAGAGGCAUACUCUAACACACUAUUCGUACAUGGAUCAUAUGCACUUAUAAUUAGACCUCUAGCAAGCAUCUUCAACUACUAGAAAUCAUUAAGGUAAAUGCAACCAUAGCAUUAAGCAUCAAGUCCUCUUUGAUCCCAUACGUGCACAACUCCCUUACUCGGGUGUAAGUGUAUGUCACUCUCGCCACCCACUAUAAGAGAAUCAUGAACAUAUUGCAAAGCCUCAAGCAUGUAUCCUUUACGUGUGCGCCUCACAGAAGGCAUCUUAGGACAACAUCAUAUCAACACGCAACUCAUAUCAAUAACAUCAUAUCAUAAUUAACCCGUAGGACAAAACGGAUCUACUCAAACAUCAUAGAAUAGCCACAUAUCAUUGGAAAAUAGUAUGUAGUGUUGAGCAUCAUGUUUAAGUAAAGAGUUAGAGUAGGAAAAGAGGUGUUAAACCAAUGCAAAGAGGGGGAGAGAGUUGGUGUUGACGGCGACAAGAUUGUUGAUGUAGAUCGUCGUCACACUCCUUGCCUCGGCGACACUCCAGCGCCACUUGGAGAGAGAGAGAGGGAGAGAUCCCCUACCUCUUCUUCUUACUUGCCCCCCUAGAUGCGAGGAGAGUUCCCCCUCUAGUUCAGGGCCUACCUGGCGGGGAGGGGCAGGAGACCCUCCGAGAUUGGAUGUCCCUCUCUGUUCUCUAAUAUUUCGCGUUCCUGUUUUCUAGCCCUUCACCAUUUCUUAUAUUCUCGGAUAUCCCUAAUUCCAAUCAGGCUGAAAUUUUUACAAGAUUUUUUACCAUAAAUUAUCUUUCUUGUGCGUGAAGAAGAACUCUAACCGACUCACGAUGUGGCCACUAGAGGGAAGGGCAUGCAAGGGGGUAUGGGCCGCGCCCUGGUGGAUAGUGGAGACCGUGGGCCUCCAUUUACGUUGAUUACACCUCCCAAAAAUCACAUAUGUUCCAAAACAGUUCUCCGUAAAUUUUUAUAGUGUUUGGACUUAAUUUGAUAUGGAUAUUCUGCGAAAGAAAAAACAUGCAACAAACAGGAACCGACACUUGGCACUAAAUCAAUAUGUUAUUCCAAUAAAUCAUAUACAAUGUUGCCAAAAACAUGUGAAAGUUGUAUAUAUUUGCAUGGAACAAUUGAAAAUUAUAGAUACGACGGAGACGUAUCGACCGGCAUGCCGAACCAAGGGUUUUCACCCUAGUACAAGAUAGGGAAGGGCAACCCAUGAUGACUCCUCCAAGGAAGAAAGUGGCGCUUAGGAGCGUCGCCGACACCGGUAUCGACAUCAUCGGACGGAGCUUUCGCCCACGGACAAUGACAUCCACCAUCAAAAUCCACUAUCCAAAAAAGCAUAGCCAUCAUCUGGCGAGCAGAGGUUGCUUACUAUGACGAAGAAGAUGCCCAAAACAUGGUCGGCGACGCGUGAGCCAUCCUCCACGAAGGUACAUGUUGGUUUAAGUUUGUUGGUGCUCUGCAAGUACAUGGUCUCGAGCUCUGGAAUGAAAACUUGUGAAUUGGUUGAACAUGGAAAUGGUAGUGUUCCAAAACAUUCCAUUGUUGGAAGUAGUGUUGCGAGUUUGCUAGUGAUUCCUCUUUAGUGUGAAAACCUAAUAUCUAGUUCUCGUUAUAGCAGCGUCCGCGUGUAGUUCUAUUUUUGACUACAUCGUUAUUGAAGCACUUUCUCAUGGUCCGGAUGCCAUAUGUUGCACUUACAUAUAGAUUUGUAAGGAUAUGCUUAUGAAACUAUGUUGUCAUCGGUGUUUUGCUUCGAUGGGACUUUUGG